UUGACCUCAAAUCAGGUAGGACUACCCGCUGAACUUAAGCAUAUCAAUAAGCGGAGGAAAAGAAACUAACAAGGAUUCCCCUAGUAACUGCGAGUGAAGAGGGAAAAGCUCAAAUUUAAAAUCUGGCAGCUUCGCUGUCCGAGU
rnacentral:rRNA from 2 species